UGGCGCACGGGUGAGUAACGCGUGGGUAAUCUACCCCUGAAUUUGGGAUAACGUUGCGAAAGCGACGCUAUACCGGAUAAUAUCUUUUUAAUUUUGGUUAGGAAGAUCAAAGGUGGCCUCUACAUGUAAGCUACUGUUUGGGGAUGAGCCCGCGUACCAUUAGCUAGUUGGUAGGGUAAUGGCCUACCAAGGCAGCGAUGGUUAGCUGGUCUGAGAGGAUGAUCAGCCACACUGGAACUGACACACGGUCCAGACUCCUACGGGAGGCAGCAGUGAGGAAUUUUGCGCAAUGGGGGAAACCCUGACGCAGCAACGCCGCGUGAGUGAUGAAGGCCUUCGGGUCGUAAAGCUCUGUCAAGUGGGAAGAAUCUGAUUAUUGUUAAUAUCAGUAAUCACUGACGGUACCAUUGAAGGAAGCACCGGCUAACUCCGUGCCAGCAGCCGCGGUAAUACGGGGGGUGCAAGCGUUAUUCGGAAUUAUUGGGCGUAAAGAGCACGUAGGCGGCCAGUUAAGUCAGAUGUGAAAUCCCGGGGCUCAACCCCGGAAGUGCAUUUGAAACUAAUUGGCUUGAGUAUGGGAGAGGGAAGUGGAAUUCCUGGUGUAGAGGUGAAAUUCGUAGAUAUCAGGAGGAACACCGGUGGCGAAGGCGACUUCCUGGACCAAUACUGACGCUGAGGUGCGAAGGCGUGGGGAGCAAACAGGAUUAGAUACCCUGGUAGUCCACGCAGUAAACGGUGAUCACUAGGUGUAGCGGGUAUUGACCCCUGCUGUGCCGGAGUUAACGCAUUAAGUGAUCCGCCUGGGGAGUACGGCCGCAAGGUUAAAACUCAAGGAAUUGACGGGGGCCCGCACAAGCGGUGGAGCAUGUGGUUUAAUUCG
rnacentral:rRNA from 1 species